rnacentral:rRNA from 1 species
GAUCCUGGCUCAGGACGAACGCUGGCGGCGCGCCUAACACAUGCAAGUCGAACGAGAGAUGAGGAGCUUGCUCUUCAAAUCGAGUGGCGAACGGGUGAGUAACGCGUGAGGAACCUGCCUCGAAGAGGGGGACAACAGUUGGAAACGACUGCUAAUACCGCAUAAGCCCACGGCUCGGCAUCGAGCAGAGGGAAAAGGAGUGAUCCGCUUUGAGAUGGCCUCGCGUCCGAUUAG